UACUCGAGUGGCGAACGGGUGAGUAACACGUGGGUGAUCUGCCCUGCACUUCGGGAUAAGCCUGGGAAACUGGGUCUAAUACCGGAUAGGAGCCAUUUUUAGUGUGAUUGUUGGAAAGUUUUUUCGGUGUAGGAUGAGCUCGCGGCCUAUCAGCUUGUUGGUGGGGUAAUGGCCUACCAAGGCGGCGACGGGUAGCCGGCCUGAGAGGGUGGACGGCCACAUUGGGACUGAGAUACGGCCCAG
rnacentral:rRNA from 1 species